rnacentral:rRNA from 1 species
AUUGAACGCUGGCGGCAGGCCUAACACAUGCAAGUCGAGCGAGCGGCGGACGGGUGAGUAAUGUAUGAGGAUCUGCCUGAUGGAGGGGGAUAACUACUGGAAACGGUAGCUAAUACCGCAUACCCUCAAAUUAACCCAUCUGGGAUUAGCUGGUAGGUAAGGUAACGGCUUACCUAGGCGACGAUCCCUAGCUGGUCUGAGAGGAUGAUCAGCCACACUGGGACUGAGAAACGGCCCAGACUCUUACGGGAGGAAGCAGUGGGGAAUAUUGCACAAUGGGCGCAAGCCUGAUGCAGCCAUGCCGCGUGUAUGAAGAAGGCCUUCGGGUUGUAAAGUACUUUCAGUGGGGAGGCGUUACCGACAGAAGAAGCACCGGCUAACUCCGUGCCAGCAGCCGCGGUAAUUC